rnacentral:rRNA from 1 species
GAUGAACGCUGGCUACAGGCUUAACACAUGCAAGUCGAGGGGAAACGGCAUUGGGUGCUUGCACUCUUUGGACGUCGACCGGCGCACGGGUGAGUAACGCGUAUCCAACCUUCCCGUUACUGCGGGAUAACCUGCCGAAAGGCAGACUAAUACCGCAUGUUCUUCGAUGACGGCAUCAGAUUCGAAGCAAAGACUCGUCGGUAACGGAGGGGGAUGCGUCUGAUUAGCUUGUUGGCGGGGCGACGGCCCACCAAGGCGACGAUCAGUAGGGGUUCUGAGAGGAAGGUCCCCCACAUUGGAACUGAGACACGGUCCAAACUCCUACGGGAGGCAGCAGUGAGGAAUAUUGGUCAAUGGGCGGAAGCCUGAACCAGCCAAGUAGCGUGCAGGAUGACGGCCCUACGGGUUGUAAACUGCUUUUAUGCGGGGAUAAAGUGAGGGACGCGUCCCUUUUUGCAGGUACCGCAUGAAUAAGGACCGGCUAAUUCCGUGCCAGCAGCCGCGGUAAUACGGAAGGGCCGGGCGUUAUCCGGAUUUAUUGGGUUUAAAGGGAGCGUAGGCCGGGGAUUAAGUGUGUUGUGAAAUGUAGGCGCCCAACGUCUGACUUGCAGCGCAUACUGGUUCCCUUGGAGUACGCGCAACGCCGGCGGAAUUCGUCGUGUAGCGGUGAAAUGCUUAGGAUAUGACGGAAGGAACCCCGGAUUGCGAAGGCAGCCGGCGGGAGCGCAACUGACGCUGAAGCUCGGAAGGUGCGGGUAUCGAACAGGAUUAGGAUACCCUGGUAGUCCGCACGGUAAACGGAUGGAUGCCCGCUGUCGGCGCCUUGCGCCGGCGGCCAAGCGAAAGCGUUAAGCAUCCCACCUGGGGAGUACGCCGGCAACGGUGAAACUCGGAAGGAAUUGACGGGGGCCCGCACAAGCGGAGGAACAUGUGGUUUAAUUCGAUGAUACGCGAAGG